rnacentral:rRNA from 1 species
CUCGCCUACGGGAGGCAGCAGUGAGGAAUAUUGGUCAAUGGGCGGGAGCCUGAACCAGCCAAGUCGCGUGAGGGAAGACGGUCCUAUGGAUUGUAAACCUCUUUCGUCGGGGAGCAAAGAGACCACGUGUGGUCAAAAGCGAGAGUACCCGAAGAAAAAGCAUCGGCUAACUCCGUGCCAGCAGCCGCGGUAAUACGGAGGAUGCGAGCGUUAUCCGGAUUUAUUGGGUUUAAAGGGUGCGUAGGCGGGACGGUAAGUCAGCGGUAAAAAUGCGGAGCUCAAAUCCGUCGAGCCGGUGAAACUGU